AAUUGAAAGUGCUGCAUUAAUUCUGGUAACUAAUUUUUUGAUUGGAUUCGAUCAACAAUUACCUAACUGCAUCUGCAAAUUUAUUCACUCUAUAGGUUGGACAAAGUUACAUCAGAGAUAAAUGUUACCAAGGAAUAACUCGAGGGAUAUCAUACGUGACAACUUGAUACUUGAUAAAUUUGGUAGUUACAACACAAAAGUGAGCCAGUAAUGCUUAAGGCUUGGCACAAAUUGCAGCAAAUG